rnacentral:tRNA from 1 species
GGAUCCGUGGCUCAGCCUGGAUACAGCUCAGUCUGACUGAGGUUGACUGAAAGAGCGUCUGCCUUCGGAGCAGAAUGUCGUGGGUUCAAAUCCCUCCGGAUCCG